AGCAGCCGCGGUAAUUCCAGCUCCAAUAGCGUAUAUUAAAGUUGUUGCAGUUAAAAAGCUCGUAGUUGAAUUUCGGGAUCAAUAUGCUGGUCGUGCCAUUGGUACGUACUAGUAUUAUUGGUUUCUCCUUUCUGAUGAAUCAUGAUGUCAUUAAUUUGAUGUCAUGAGGAAUCAGGACUGUUAUUUUGAAAAAAUUAGAGUGUUUAAAGCAGGCUCGCGCUUGAAUACAUUAGCAUGGAAUAAUGAAAUAGGAUGUUUGAUUCUAUUUUGUUGGUUUCUAGGAUUGACGUAAUGAUUAAUAGGGAUAGUUGGGGGCAUUAGUAUUCAAUUGUCAGAGGUGAAAUUCUUGGAUUUAUUGAAGACUAACUACUGCGAAAGCAUUUGCCAAGGAUGUUUUCAUUAAUCAAGAACGAAAGUUAGGGGAUCGAAGACGAUCAGAUACCGUCGUAGUCUUAACCAUAAACUAUGCCGACUAGGGAUCGGAUGAUGUUAAUUUUUUAAUGACUCAUUCGGCGCCUUA
rnacentral:misc_RNA from 1 species